AAAAACACGAGCCAAACAUGCACCUGUGGCUAUUUUUCUGAAAAGGUUUUUCAGGAGAUUUCCUAUUUUUUUUAAGAAACUUUAUUUUAUUUUAUUUUAUUUAUAUCUCUAUGUAUUUAUUGAGAUGGAGUCUCGUUCUGUCGUCCAGGCUAGAGUGCAGUGAUGUGAUCUCUGCUCACUGCAGCCUUCGCCUCCCGGGUUCAGGCGAUUCUCCUGCUCAAACUUCUGACCUCAAGUGAUCCACCCACCUUGGGAUUACAGGCGUGAGCCACCAUGCCCAGUCGGGGAUCAGAGUUUUUAAAAAUGAUUUGGUGGGUAUGGGCUCAGGAAGUAGGGAGUGCUUAUUGGUCGGGUUGGAGAUGGAAUCAUGGGGGUGGAAGUGAGUUCUUGCUGAUUUCUCUUCCUGGAUGAGAUCGCAGGACUGGUUGAGCCAGAUUAUCAGUCUGGGUGGUGUCAUCUGCUGCAUCGGAAUUCAGGGUAUGCAAAAUAUCUCAAGCACUGAUCUUAAGUUUUGCAACGGAGAUUUUAUUCCCAGAAGCAACUUGGGGAGGUUCAGACUCUUGCGGCCAGAAGCUGCAUGGCCCCUAAGCCGUAAUCUCUCAUCUUGUAGCUAAUUUGUUAGUCCUACAAAGGCAGGACAGUUCCCCACGCAAGAAGCGUCUUUUUUUCAGGAAAGGACUAUUAUCAGUUUUGUUUCAGAAUUUAAACUAUAAACAAUUCUUCCCCAAGACUAGUUUGGCCUAUGCCCAGGAAUGAACAAAGACAGCUUAGGCGUUAGAAGCAAGGUGUGGUCGGUUAGGUCUGAUCUGUUUCACUGUCAUAAUUUUCUCAGUUAUGAGUUUUGCAAAGGCCCUUUCAAUGGGGUGACUAUAGUAAGUUAAUUUUCCUCCUCUUUCUUCUGGUUUACCCAAGGGCAUGUGGAGUCAUAGAACUGUCCAGCAGGCACUGAAAGUAAAAAGUCUGUGAUAAA
rnacentral:lncRNA from 10 species